UACAGAGGGGGCAAGCGUUGUUCGGAAUUACUGGGCGUAAAGGGCGCGUAGGUGGCCUUCUAAGUCGAACGUGAAAUCCCUGGGCUCAACCCAGGAACUGCGUCCGAUACUGGAAGGCUUGAAUCCGGGAGAGGGAUGCGGAAUUCCUGGUGUAGCGGUGAAAUGCGUAGAUAUCAGGAGGAAUACCGGUGGCGAAAGCGGCAUCCUGGACCAUUACUGACACUGAUCCGCGAAAGCUAGGGGAGCAAACGGG
rnacentral:rRNA from 1 species